rnacentral:rRNA from 1 species
CCUGAAAGGGCGGGGUGCCCGCAAGGGAGCGUGGAGACAGGUGGUGCAUGGCUGUCGUCAGCUCGUGUCGUGAGAUGUUGGGUUAAGUCCCGCAACGAGCGCAACCCUCACCCCUAGUUGCCACCGGGUAAUGCCGAGCACUCGAGGGGAACUGCCAGCGUCAAGCUGGAGGAAGGCGGGGAUGACGUCAAGUCAUCAUGCCCCUUACGUCCUGGGCUACACACGUGCUACAAUGGCCGAUACAGAGGGAUGCGAGACCGCGAGGUGGAGCUAAUCCCAAAAAGCCGGUCUAAGUUCAGAUUGCAGUCUGCAACUCGACUGCAUGAAGUAGGAAUCGCUAGUAAUCGCGCAUCAGCACGGCGCGGUGAAUACGUUCCCGGGCCUUGUACACACCGCCCGUCACACCACGAAAGCUGG